rnacentral:rRNA from 1 species
GUGCCAGCAGCCGCGGUAAUACGAAGGGGGCUAGCGUUGUUCGGAAUCACUGGGCGUAAAGCGCACGUAGGCGGAUCUUUAAGUCAGGGGUGAAAUCCCGAGGCUCAACCUCGGAACUGCCUUUGAUACUGGAGGUCUCGAGUCCGGGAGAGGUGAGUGGAACUGCGAGUGUAGAGGUGAAAUUCGUAGAUAUUCGCAAGAACACCAGUGGCGAAGGCGGCUCACUGGCCCGGAACUGACGCUGAGGUGCGAAAGCGUGGGGAGCAAACAGGAUUAGAUACCCCUGUAGUCC